UGCAGUCGAGGGGUAUAUGUCUUCGGAUAUAGAGACCGGCGCACGGGUGCGUAACGCGUAUGCAAUCUGCCUUUCACAGAGGGAUAGCCCAGAGAAAUUUGGAUUAAUACCUCAUAGUAUUAUGUUUCGGCAUCGAGAUAUAAUUAAAGUCACAACGGUGAAAGAUGAGCAUGCGUCCCAUUAGCUAGUUGGUAAGGUAACGGCUUACCAAGGCUACGAUGGGUAGGGGUCCUGAGAGGGAGAUCCCCCACACUGGUACUGAGACACGGACCAGACUCCUACGGGAGGCAGCAGUGAGGAAUAUUGGACAAUGGGCGCAAGCCUGAUCCAGCCAUGCCGCGUGCAGGAUGACGGUCCUAUGGAUUGUAAACUGCUUUUGUACGAGAAGAAACACUCCUUCGUGAAGGAAUUUGACGGUAUCGUAAGAAUAAGGAUCGGCUAACUCCGUGCCAGCAGCCGCGGUAAUACGGAGGAUCCAAGCGUUAUCCGGAAUCAUUGGGUUUAAAGGGUCCGUAGGCGGUUUAGUAAGUCAGUGGUGAAAGCCCAUCGCUCAACGGUGGAACGGCCAUUGAUACUGCUGAACUUGAAUUAUUAGGAAGUAACUAGAAUAUGUAGUGUAGCGGUGAAAUGCUUAGAGAUUACAUGGAAUACCAAUUGCGAAGGCAGGUUACUACUAAUUGAUUGACGCUGAUGGACGAAAGCGUGGGGAGCGAACAGGAUUAGAUACCCUGGUAGUCCACGCCGUAAACGAUGGAUACUAGCUGUUGGGAGCAAUUUCAGUGGCUAAGCGAAAGUGAUAAGUAUCCCACCUGGGGAGUACGUUCGCAAGAAUGAAACUCAAAGGAAUUGACGGGGGCCCGCACAAGCGGUGGAGCAUGUGGUUUAAUUCGAUGAUACGCGAGGAACCUUACCAAGGCUUAAAUGUAGAUUGACCGUUUUGGAAACAGAACUUUCGCAAGACAAUUUACAAGGUGCUGCAUGGUUGUCGUCAGCUCGUGCCGUGAGGUGUCAGGUUAAGUCCUAUAACGAGCGCAACCCNNGUUGUUAGUUGCCAGCGAGUCAAGUCGGGAACUCUAACAAGACUGCCAGUGCAAACUGG
rnacentral:rRNA from 1 species